ACAAACUUGGUCAUUUAGAGGAAGUAAAAGUCGUAACAAGGUCUCCGUUGGUGAACCAGCGGAGGGAUCAUUAUUAGAGUUGUAAAACUCCCUAAACCCACUGUGAACUUACCUGUAAUCUACUUGCUUCGGCAGGCGGCCCCUGGGAGGGACCUGUUGCCUGUCAAAAGGUGCCUGCCGAAAGCUACCAUUUUUAAAACUCUUGUUUCUCUAGUGGAUAUCUGAGUAUAAAAAAAAAAGUCAAAACUUUCAACAACGGAUCUCUUGGUUCUGGCAUCGAUGAAGAACGCAGC
rnacentral:misc_RNA from 1 species